rnacentral:SRP_RNA from 1 species
GCCGGGUGUGGUGGCGUUUUCCUGUAAUCCCAGCUACUUGGGAGGCUGAGACAGGAGAAUUGCUUGAACCCAGGAGGCAGAGGUUGCAGUGAGCCGAGAUUGCGCCACUGCACUCUAGCCUGGGUGACAGAGCAAGACUCCGUCUCAA